rnacentral:rRNA from 1 species
UACGAGGGGGCAAGCGUUGUUCGGAAUUAUUGGGCGUAAAGGGUGCGUAGGCGGUCUGACAAGUUUGAUGUGAAAUCUAUGGGCUCAACCCAUAGUCUGCAUCGGAAACUGUCGGGCUGGAGUAUGGGAGAGGUGAGUGGAAUUCCGGUGUAGCGGUGGAAUGCGUAGAGAUCCGGAAGAACACCAGUGGCGAAGGCUGCCCGCUGGGCAGUGGCUGACGCUGAGGCGCGACAGCGUGGGGAGCAAACAGG